rnacentral:rRNA from 1 species
AACCUUCCCGCAAGUAAGGGAUAACCCGUAGAAAUGCGGCCUAAUACCUUAUGUUUUCCUUAGAGGGGCAUCUGAUGAGGAACAAAGAUCCGUCGCUUGCGGAUGGGGAUGCGUCUGAUUAGUUAGUCGGCGGGGUAACGGCCCACCGAGACGACGAUCAGUAGGGGUUCUGAGAGGAAAGUCCCCCACAUUGGAACUGAGACACGGUCCAAACUCCUACGGGAGGCAGCAGUGAGGAAUAUUGGUCAAUGGGCGGAAGCCUGAACCAGCCAAGUAGCGUGCAGGACGACGGCCCUAUGGGUUGUAAACUGCUUUUAUGCGGGGAUAAAGUGGGCCACGCGUGGCCUUUUGCAGGUACCGCAUGAAUAAGGACCGGCUAAUUCCGUG